rnacentral:rRNA from 1 species
UACGUAGGGGGCAAGCGUUUGUCCGGAUUUAUUGGGCGUAAAGAGCGUGUAGGCGGCCUUACAGGUCAGCUGUGAAAACUCGAGGCUCAACCUCGAGACGUCGGUUGAAACCGUAUGGCUAGAGUCCGGAAGAGGAGAGUGGAAUUCCUGGUGUAGCGGUGAAAUGACGCAGAUAUCAGGAAGAACACCCGUGGCUAAGGCGGCUCUCUAGUACGGUACUGACGCUGAGACGCGAAAGCGUGGGGAGCGAACAGG